AGAUCAUUUUGGGGAAAAUUUUGAAGUAAUCCCUUGUAGCGCUCCCAUGCUUCAAAUAGCGACUCAUCCAUUUGUUGUUUAAAGUUAGAUAUGGCCUUCUUUAGUUU